GACGAACGCUGGCGGCGUGCUUAACACGUGCAAGUCGAACGGAAAGGCCCUGCUUUUGUGGGGUGCUCGGGUGGCGAACGCGUGCGUAACACGUGAGUAACCUGCCCUUGACUUUGGGAUAGCUUCACGAAACUGGGGCUACUACCGGAUCGCAGCUCCUGCUGCAUGGUGGGGGUUGGAACGUUUCGGCGGGUGGGGAUGGACUCGCGGCUUAUGAGCUUGUUGGUUGGGUAGUGGUUUACCGAGGCUUUGACUGGUAGCCGGCCUGGGAGGGUGAACGGGGUCAAGGGGCCUGAGGGAGGGAGCAGACGCGUACGGGAGACAGCGGGGGCGAACAUGGCACAGUGGGACGAAGUGUGAUGCAGCAACGCCGGGGGUGGGAUGACGGUCUUCGGGGAGUAAACCGCUUUCGCCUGUGACGAAGCGUUAGUGACGGUAAUGGGUAAAGAAGCACCGGCUAACUACGUG
rnacentral:rRNA from 1 species